UACGGGGGGGUAAGCGUUGUUCGGAAUUACUGGGCGUAAAGGCUCGUAGGCGGCCAACUAAGUCAGACGUGAAAUCCCUCAGCUUAACUGGGGAACUGCGUCUGAAUACUGGAUGGCUUGGAUUUGGGAGAGGGAUGCGGAAUUCCAGGUGUAGCGGUGAAAUGCGUAGAUAUCUGGAGGAACACCGGUGGCGAAGGCGGCAUCCUGGACCAACAUUGACGCUGAGGAGCGAAAGCCAGGGGAGCAAACGGG
rnacentral:rRNA from 1 species